UAUUGGACAAUGGGCGCAAGCCUGAUCCAGCCAUGCCGCGGGUGUGAAGAAGGCUUUCGGGUUGUAAAGCACUUUCAGUGAGGAAGAACGCUGUCGGGUUAAUACCCCGGCAGAGAGACAUCACUCACAGAAGAAGCACCGGCUAACUCCGUGCCAGCAGCCGGAGUAAUACGGAGGGUGCAAGCGUUAAUCGGAAUUACUGGGCGUAAAGCGCGCGUAGGCGGCGUGAUCAGCCGGUUGUGAAAGCCCCGGGCUCAACCUGGGAACAGCAUCCGGAACUGUCACGCUAGAGUGCAGGAGAGGAAGGUAGAAUUCCCGGUGUAGCGGUGAAAUGCGUAGAUAUCGGGAGGAAUACCAGUGGCGAAGGCGGCCUUCUGGACUGACACUGACGCUGAGGUGCGAAAGCGUGGGUAGCAAACAG
rnacentral:rRNA from 1 species